GAUGAACGCUGGCGGUAUGCUUAACACAUGCAAGUCGAACGGACUCUUCGGAGUUAGUGGCGGACGGGUGAGUAACGCGUGAGAAUCUGGCUUUGGGUUCGGGACAACCACUGGAAACGGUGGCUAAUACCGGAUGUGCCGAGAGGUAAAAGAGAAAUUGCCUGAAGAUGAGCUCGCGUCUGAUUAGCUAGUUGGUGAGGUAAAGGCUCACCAAGGCAGCGAUCAGUAGCUGGUCUGAGAGGGUGACCAGCCACACUGGGACUGAGACACGGCCCAGACUCCUACGGGAGGCAGCAGGGGGGAAUUGUCCGCAAUGGGCGAAAGCCUGACGGAGCAAUACCGCGUGAGGGAAGAAGGCUCUUGGGUUGUAAACCUCUUUUCUUAGGGAAGAACAAAAUGACGGUACCUAAGGAAUCAGCAUCGGCUAACUCCGUG
rnacentral:rRNA from 1 species